GAGGCCUAAUUGAACUGGCGCCGCGCUCCCCGGUGGUAUCAGAGCGGUGGCUGCAUGCCUCCCAUUUUUCUCUUUUUUGAACAGCAGUGUGCACAGUGCUUAUCCUGGGCGUGUCCCACCACUGUGUAUUAGAUGCGGUUGGCAGAUGGCUUGUCUCUUGAUUCAUGGGUCUUCAGAUUGCCAGGAGCUUCGUCUGGAGAACAGUACCCAAGGAGCCUCUGCUGCUGGACCUGAUUUAUGUGUCCAGAUCGCACCCUCAAGCCUGAGCAUGAGGCUACAGCAGCUUUAUAAUCCUGUGAUGUCCUACAACCACAGACCUCCAGUUCUCUUGAUAUUCAAGACUAGACUGCUGAAACCUUCCAGCCAAGAGACACGUCCCGUAGAAUCCGGAGUCUCUCAGUAAAAUGAAGCAUCUUCUAUAGUAUGGCCAAAGACCUAUUUCCCGUCUACGUUUCUAAUUCUUCCAGUCCCAGAAAUACGCUGGUGUCCAUCAAUUACAUUUCAUCCUUUGGAAGAUGAGCAUUGCUAGGGAUGACUGCCUCAGCGCACUGGCCCAGUUCAACAUGCACAGGCCCCCUCGCUGUCCAAGAAGAGCCCACAACAUCGCCUCAGGCUUGUCUGGAAUUGCACAACAACCGACUGGAAAGUCUUCCUGUAGAGUGGUUUCACAAGAUCAGCAAGCUGUACCUAUGGAGAGACCCACAUGACAAGGGAUGAAGGUUCCGGCAAACAACCAGAGAGGACCUGAGGUCUUGAGCCCAACAGUCCAGGAGGAACUAACUCUUGCCAAGAACCCAAGACAAUGUCUUCAGUGUUUGAUCACCUGAGAACUUGCUAAAAAUGCAAACUUUCAGACUCACAUCUCAGAUCUAUGAAGUCAGAUCAGCUUGCCUAGAGAAGGAAUUACAUUGGCCCAGAAGCUACUCAAUUCUUCGUAAGUGCUCCACAUAUAUGUAAAUCCUACCUCUCUAACAAGACCAGAAAAUCUUUUGGGAGUCUUUCCUAUUUCCUUUUGGGCUUUCCACAGACUCUGGGCAAGUGUUAAGUGCCUAGAAAGUGCUUCAUUGAUAGGAUGUUUUCAGUUAUUCAUUCAGUCUGCUAGGUGUUCACUUAAUAGAACUGAAACGUUAUUGAAUUGAAUUUAAAUUCCCCAUUAAUAGGGGUGUCUGGGUGGCUCAGUCAGUUAAGCAUCUGGCUUCGGUUCAGGUCAUGAUCUUGCUGUCUGUGGGUUCGAGGCCCGCAUUGGGCUCUGUGCUGACAGCUCAGAGCGUGGAGCCUGCUUCUGAUUCUGUGUCUCCCUUUCUCUAUGACCCUCCCCUGCUCAUGCUCUCUCUCUGUCUCUCUCAAAAAUAAAUAAACAUUUAAAAAUUUAAAUUUCCCAUUAAUAAGACAGCAAUUACUUGAAAUACACAGGAAUUUGACUAACGAACACCUCCAAAGCUAUGAGUCACUGUGUUCACGGUCUCUCAAACAUACCAGCUUCUUCCAUGCCUGUCUGUCUUUGCUUCGCUGCUAACCUGGAAAGCACGUUUUCAUUCUUUCAAACUGUUGUGCAAAUCACCUUCUUUAAUGAAGUCUUUCAUUAACACACCCCAGGAUAUAAAUCACCAAUCUCUUCUUCAGGCCACUCUAAACUUUGUGCUUACUUUAUUAUAGUAAUUUAUGUAUCAUAUGACUACCUCUCCGUAAGAACAUAAGCUCCCUGAAGUCAAGAACUGUAUUGUAUUCAUGUCUGUACUUCCAACAUCUGCCAUGUUUCUUUGGAUGCCAUGAUCACUUCAGAGUGUAUGUUGAACGUUAGAUGAUUACUGGACACCUACCUUAGUGGUCUUACAGUUAAUGUAAUGGGAAAGCAAGUUUAAGUAACUUGUCACAGCAUGAGAAGCAAGUCGGAGAACAAUGAAGCACAACGUGAUGCCGCCAUUUCUAUGCUUCAAACAUUCUGACACAGGGAAGAAAAAAAUGACAGCAAAAAAAAUGCCAAAUGGUUUCAGACCUAUUCUAUGAAUCUAAAAGAUAAGCCAGUCACUUUUAAAAUGUUUCUUAUAGAAAACUUCAGACAUAUAUAAGAACUAGAAUAGUUUAAUGGAAUGUCAAACAUCAAGAGUUAUUAACAUACAGCAAAAUCGUAUGCCGUUUAUGCCCUGAUCCACUUUCUCUCCCUACUGGAUUACUUUAAAGCUAAAUCUAGACAUCAAAUCAUUCUUGCGUAAACAUUUAGGAUGCAGCUCUAUAAGAUAAGGGAUCUUUCAUUAGACACUAAAAUAAUAUCACUAUCCUAAAAAAAUAAUACUACUUUCUUAGUAUCAUCAAAUAUCAUCAAUGUUUAAAUUUGCCUCAUUAAUGUUUUUUUUUUUUUCAGAGCUUUACCAUCAGGAUUCAAAGAGGCUCAUACUUAAAUUUGGUUGAUGUUUUUCUUAAGUCUCUUUUAACUUAAGACUUUUUUUUUGCCCUUGUAAUUUAUUUGUUGAAGGAGCUGGGUCAUUUGUCCUAUAGUUUCCCAUAUCCUGGAUUUAGGGAUUGAAUCCUCAUACUGCGUCAAUCAUGUUCUUCAGUUCCCUGUACUACUUGUAAACUAGUAGUUAGAUUUUAGUCCUGUCUAGUAGAAUUUUCUGUGAUGAUGGAAGUAUUCCAUAUCUGUACAUGUGGCUAUUGCACUAGUGCGACUGAGGGACUGAAUUAAUUAAUUUUGUUCUAAUUAACUUAUACUUACACAGCCCCAAAUGGCUAGUGCCUGCCAUAUUGGACAGCACAUACAGGUUAAUUGAAAUUGAAGUUGAAAUAGACACAUGUUGCAAAUGGUUACUGUAUUGAAUUCAAGUUUGCUGGUUUAUCAAGAAUAUUGCGUAAUGGUGCAUUUCCACAAGGGGGCGAACAUGUCUGGUUGUCUCUGCAAUAUUAACAGUCCUUUGAUGAUCAUGGUCUAUAUCCAUUAAUUCAUUAGAAGGUUGCAAAAUGAUCGUAUACUAUUUUUA